CAUAAAAUUAAUGUUCGAAUGACUCGUAAUAGAAUGUCCUUAAAAUUAGCCAAGAUGGCGUGAAGAUAUGUUGAUCAAUAUAAAUAUCAAUAAGGUCAAGAAAAUCUACUAGAAUGUGAACGCUUUUAUUCCUUCUUUCCAAGCUGCUGUCAUGGCUCAUCUACUUCCCCUCUACUGAAGGAGGUCAUAAGGUCGGUUGUCUUUAGAAAUUACUUGAACUAAACAUCUUUCCAUGAAGUUUGCGUUGCUCUGGGGAAGUACGUGGGCUGCGUCAGGUGCUGGGUGAUUACCAGCGGCACUGCAAGGGUGGGCGCCGGUAUAUAUAGAGGGCCAAGGGAACCCUCGGCAAGCGCCCGUUGGCUGGUGGGUCGUUUGGUCCCUGUUCGUGGCGGUGGUCGUCCAGCCCCGAAGCAUGCGUGCUUACGUCGUCGUGGCUCUGCUCAUGGUGGGGAUCAGCACCUCUCGCGGGAAGGACAUCUGUGCCAUAGACUGCACCCAUGGGUCUACCCUCACCGCAGACCCUGUCAACUGCAAAAAUUAUUAUAUCUGCUACUCUCCCUAUGAUCAUAGCGACUUUCCAUUCGUUUGUGAAGGUAAUAAAUUUUUCGAUAUAUUAACUCACACCUGUAUUGAAUUCGGCUAUGUAUGCACCCCAGAGUGUGAGAAGUGUUCCUUCGACUGCGCUGCUCCUGUCCUUGGAAAAAUAGCAAACCCAGUCGAUUGUCAUAUUUACUACGACUGUAAGACAGGUUCUUGGUUCACGUGUCCUAUAGACAAGACGUUCUACGAUGGGAAUAUUUGUCAGAGUGACGAACAACACUGCUGUACAUGCAAGUCGCAUUGUUCUACCAAUGACGUAACCAAUCAUCUCAUGGUCCCAGACUACCGCAAUUGUACCAACUUCUAUCUGUGUGUAGACACUGGAUUCCCUGACCAGAACACCCACGGACACUGCCCGUCCGGUAAUUUCGAUCCACAAUCAAAAACAUGCAACCCUAACGCCCCCUGCAUACAGCCGUGUGUAUGAAGACACCACAUUCAGGAGGAUCUGAUCGUUGGAGUGACGACAGCCCUCAUCCCCCACCCCACCUCCCUCAUGGGCACAACUCUCAGACCCAAUCCGUAGGCCACAACACUGGCUUCCUCUGUUAAUGUACUUGAUAUAUUUGUUAUGUGAUGUAAUAAAGACUCAAGAGAUCAA